rnacentral:rRNA from 1 species
CCUACGGGGGGCUGCAGUGGGGAAUAUUGGGCAAUGGGGGAAACCCUGACCCAGCAACGCCGCGUGAGGGAAGAAGGUUUUCGGAUUGUAAACCUCUGUUCUUGGUGAAGAGAAGAAGACGGUAGCCAAGGAGGAAGCCCCGGCUAACUACGUGCCAGCAGCCGCGGUAAUACGUAGGGGGCGAGCGUUGUCCGGAAUGAUUGGGCGUAAAGGGCGCGUAGGCGGCCCUGCAAGUCAGUAGUGGAAGUCCAUUUUUCAAGGGUGGAAGUGCUAUUGAAACUGCGGGGCUUGAGUAUGGGAGAGGUCAUCGGAAUUCCCGGUGUAGCGGUGAAAUGCGUAGAGAUCGGGAGGAACACCAGUGGCGAAGGCGGGUGACUGGACCAUAACUGACGCUGAGGCGCGAAAGUGUGGGGAGCAAACAGGAUUAGAUACCCGGGUAGUC